UUGCUUUGGCAGCAAAUAUAGUUCAACUGUAACAAUACAGAGAAAGCUAUCAUGGCCCCUGCACAUGGAUGACAUGCAAACUCAUGAAUUGUUCCAUAUUUUA
ensembl:snRNA U6 U6 spliceosomal RNA